rnacentral:rRNA from 1 species
GAUGAACGCUGGCGGCGUGCCUAAUACAUGCAAGUCGAGCGAAUGGACGAGAAGCUUGCUUCUCUGAUGUUAGCGGCGGACGGGUGAGUAACACGUGGAUAACCUACCUAUAAGACUGGGAUAACUUCGGGAAACCGGAGCUAAUACCGGAUGAUAUUUUGAACCGCAUGGUUCAAAGGUGAAAGACGGUCUUGCUGUCACUUAUAGAUGGAUCCGCGCUGCAUUAGCUAGUUGGUAAGGUAACGGCUUACCAAGGCAACGAUGCAUAGCCGACCUGAGAGGGUGAUCGGCCACACUGGAACUGAGACACGGUCCAGACUCCUACGGGAGGCAGCAGUAGGGAAUCUUCCGCAAUGGGCGAAAGCCUGACGGAGCAACGCCGCGUGAGUGAUGAAGGUCUUCGGAUCGUAAAACUCUGUUAUUAGGGAAGAACAUAUGUGUAAGUAACUGUGCACAUCUUGACGGUACCUAAUCAGAAAGCCACGGCUAACUACGUG